CACCAUCACCAUCAUCAUCAUCAACUUUUCUUUAAUUUAUUUUAUUUUAUUUCUUUAAGAUUAAAAAAAUAAAAAUAAAAAUAAAGACCCCCAAAUAAAUAAACAAAACCCUAACCCCUCCCACACAAUCACAAUCCUCCCUACAUUGUCCAAGCCAUGGACUUAUCCCCCUCCCCCACCAACACCAUCAAAACUCCAGAUACUGAUACUGAAACCCCACCAGAGGCCCAACCCACCAAGUCCUUAUCCUUCACCAACGGCUCUCUUAAACGUCACCACCCUCAGCCACCGCCACCACCACCACCACCACCACCACCACCUCCUCCACCGUCUUCAAUGGUGGUAUCCUACAGAGAAUGCCUCAAGAACCAUGCAGCUUCCAUCGGCGGUCACGCUCUCGAUGGCUGUGGAGAAUUCAUGCCUUGUCCCACUGCCAUACCCACCGACCCCACCUCGCUAAAAUGCGCCGCCUGUGGCUGUCACCGGAAUUUCCACCGACGUGAACCCGACGAACCCAUCACCGGCUGCAAGAUUCUCAGUUUCCACCACCGCUACCCUUCGCCGCCUCUUCCACCGCCUAUUCGGCCAUGUCACCGGAGCUCAAGCCCGAGUCUAAGCCCCAGUCGGAGCUCCAGCCCUGGCCCAACUCCUAGCCCACACUCUCCACCGCCGGUUUCUCAUUUACCACCAAAUUCCUAUUUUGCUUCCCCACCUCAGAUGCUUCUUGCUCUUAGCACCGGCUUUUCUGGUCCGUCGGAUGAGCAUCACAACCAUCAGCAUCAUCACAAUCAGAGUUUUAAUCAGACGGCGGUGAUGAUGAAGACGACAACAGAGAACUCGAACGGGAGGAAGAGAUUCAGGACGAAAUUCAGCCAGGAGCAGAAGGAGAAGAUGCAUUUGUUUGCCGAGAAAGUGGGUUGGAAAAUGGUAAAGAGCGAUGAAGGAAUUGUUGAGGAAUUUUGCAAUGAAUUUGGGGUUGGAAAAGGGGUUCUCAAAGUUUGGAUGCACAAUAACAAACACACUUUGGGGAAGAGAGACAAAGGAAAUCUUGAAGGCAAUGUAGAUGUCGAUGAUAAUAAUAAUAAUAAUAAUAACAAUAACAAUGGUGGUGGUGAUAGAGUACUUAACAAUGAAGAUAGGAAAGCUGAUUUCAAUCUUUUCAGUAACGGGUCUUCUUCAUCUCCUUCUUCAUAAUCUGUGGGGAUUCAGAAAUAGAGACACACAGAGAGAUAAAAUAAAAGGAAAAUUUCAAAAUACGUAGACUCCUUGUCCUGUUGGGUAUAAUGGCAUUGAUAAGGUUUGGUGCAAUUCAUUAAUACUUUUCAUCACUACAUUUAACAAAAUUUUCACCGCUUUAAUUACAAAAUUAAUAUAGAAACUUAGAAAGGAUAUCUAAACAAUAAU